UACGUAGGGUGCGAGCGUUGUCCGGAAUUAUUGGGCGUAAAGGGCUCGUAGGCGGUUUGUUGCGUCGGGAGUGAAAACUCAGGGCUUAACCCUGAGCCUGCUUCCGAUACGGGCAGACUAGAGGUAUGCAGGGGAGAACGGAAUUCCUGGUGUAGCGGUGAAAUGCGCAGAUAUCGGGAGGAACACCGGUGGCGAAGGCGGUUCUCUGGGCCUGUACUGACGCUGAGGAGCGAAAGCGUGGGGAGCGAACAGG
rnacentral:rRNA from 1 species